AGAAAGAGAACUGAGACCAUUAGCACAGUAAGUUGGGAGCUGUGAAAGCAUUAAUUAUUGGACAAAAAAAGCAUGAACUUAAAUUUGUAUUGAUCUACCAACCUAGCAAUUUAAAACAUUGCAUUAUAGAGGCAGAAUCUAGUAAAGAUCCAAUGUUUGAGCAGACAGAUGUAUCCCCAGAAUCUUGAUUCUGCUGUCUUCAUAUUUCUUUGUAAAUCAUGUUAAAGGCCAUUAAUCCACACACUUCUCGGAGCCCCCGGUUCUUUGAAACCCGAUUCUCCGUUCCCAAAUCCGUAGUAAGGAACCUCAAGAUCAGUAACUGUGUCGCUCUCAAGAACCCCGAGAACCAAAGCACCAAUGCAUCUGCUGCUGUUCGAAUCAUAUUGGCUGCAGGUGGCACUGGUGGCCAUAUUUAUCCAGCUAUUGCCAUUGCUGAUGACCUCAAAGUCCUUGAUCCAAAUGCCCAAAUUCUCUUUAUUGGACUUGAAAAUGGAAUGGAAAGCACUGCAGUGCCAACAGCAGGAUACUCCUUUGAACCGAUUCCUGCGGCGCCAUCAGGCCGACCCUUUGUCUCUCUCUGCAACUUACUCGUCCUCCCUUUUGUUCUUGCAAAAUCCCUAAUUAAAAGUUCUCAAAUACUUAAAGAAUUCAAACCUGAUAUAGUGAUUGGAACUGGUGGGUUUGUUUCAUUUCCAAUAUGCUUAGCUGCAAGUCUCAGAGGCAUUAAGCUUGUAAUUCAGGAACAGAAUUCGGUACCCGGGAUAGCUAACCAGGUGCUUUCUUUAUUUUCCUAUAAAGUGUUUGUUGCGUUUAACUCUUCCGUUGAUCGUUUUUGGCAAAAGAGCAAGUGUGUGGUGUGCGGGAAUCCAGUGAGACUGUCGUUGAGGCAGUAUGCGUCUAAGGCCGUGGGAAGAAGGCAUUUCUUUUCAAAUGCUGUUAUAGGGAAGGGGGAUGGUAAGGUGGUGUUGAUUCUUGGGGGCUCAUUGGGCGCGAAUGCAAUUAAUGUUGCCAUCUUGCAUUUGUAUUCUGAGAUGUUAAAUGAACGAAACGACUUGUUUUUGAUAUGGCAAACUGGGGUCUUAGCAUAUGAUGAGAUGGAGAGCCUCGUGAAAUUCCAUCCCCGGUUAUACAUAACCCCGUUCUUGCACUCGAUGGAUUUGGCGUAUGCAACUGCUGACCUUAUUGUAUCUAGAGCUGGAGCAAUGAUCUGCUCUGAGAUUUUAGCUGCUGGAAAACCUUGUAUUCUGAUACCCUCAUUGGAUGUGGCCAAAGGACACCAAUUUCACAAUGCUUGUCUAAUGGCUGAUUUUGCUGAUUCAAGGGUUAUAACUGAAGAUGAACUUGACUCUCUUACUCUUAAAAAUACUAUUGAAGAAAUUUUAGUCUUCAUCUAAAUAUCUACGAUUUUGAUUCUGAAUGCGAAGCCGAGGGUGAAACAGCCUCUCUCCCUUCACGUGGUAGUGAUAAUGAGGGAUUGAUGAGGGAGAUGUCUGAGAGAGCUCUCAAGAUUGCGAAGCCAAAUGCAUCGGUUGAAAUUGCUAAACACGUUCUUUCUCUUGUCAACUCGUCGAUUAAACUCUGAAUCAAGCUUGCAUUUACUCAUUUGAAAGAUGAAAAUCUUAUUUGUGAACUUCAUUUGGGACAUUUAAUUUCUCUCUUUUUAAUUAAUUACAACCACACCCUUCAAAGAAAAA